rnacentral:rRNA from 1 species
CCUACGGGAGGCAGCAGUGAGGAAUAUUGGUCAAUGGGCGCGAGCCUGAACCAGCCAAGUCGCGUGAGGGAAGACGGUUCUAUGGAUUGUAAACCUCUUUUGUCGGGGAGCAAAAGACGCCACGUGUGGCGUUCCGAGAGUACCCGAAGAAACAGCAUCGGCUAACACCGUGCCAGCAGCCGCGGUAAUCCGGAGGAUGUGAGCGUUAUCCGGAUUUAUUGGGUUUAAAGGGUGCGCAGGCGGAAGGUCAAGUCAGCGGUAAAAUUGAGAGGUUAAACCUCGUCGAGCUGUUGAAACUGGUUAGCUUGAGUGAGUGAGAGGUAUGCGGAAUGCGUGGUGUAGCGGUGAAAUGCAUAGAUAUCAGGCAGAACUCCGAUGGCGAAGGCAGCAUACCGGCGCUCAACUGACGCUGAUGCACGAAAGUGUGGGUAGCGAACAGGAUUAGAUACCCUUGUAGUC